rnacentral:rRNA from 1 species
GACGAACGCUGGCGGCACGCUUAACACAUGCAAGUCGAACGAGAGAAGAGAAGCUUGCUUUUCUGAUCUAGUGGCGGACGGGUGAGUAACACGUGAGCAAUCUGUCUUUCAGAGGGGGAUACCGAUUGGAAACGAUCGUUAAUACCGCAUAACAUAAUUGAACCGCAUGAUUUGAUUAUCAAAGAUUUAUCGCUGAAAGAUGAGCUCGCGUCUGAUUAGCUAGUUGGUAAGGUAACGGCUUACCAAGGCGACGAUCAGUAGCCGGACUGAGAGGUUGAUCGGCCACAUUGGGACUGAGACACGGCCCAGACUCCUACGGGAGGCAGCAGUGGGGAAUAUUGCACAAUGGAGGAAACUCUGAUGCAGCGAUGCCGCGUGAGGGAAGAAGGUUUUAGGAUUGUAAACCUCUGUCUUCAGGGACGAAAA